ACAGGGUGACAGGUGGUGCAUGGUUGUCGUCAGCUCGUGUCGUGAGAUGUUGGGUUAAGUCCCGCAACGAGCGCAACCCUUGCCAUUAGUUGUCAGCGAGUCAUGUCGGAUACUCUAAUGGGACUGCCGGUGACGAGCCGGAGGAAGGUGGGGAUGACGUCAAGUCAGCAUGGCCUUUAUGUCCAGGGCCACACACGUGCUACAAUGGACGGUACAGAGGGAUGCAAUGCCGCAAGGUGGAGCCAAUCCUCAAAACCGUUCUCAGUUCGGAUUGCAGGCUGCAAUUCGCCUGCAUGAAGCUGGAAUUGCUAGUAAUCGCAGAUCAGCUACGCUGCGGUGAAUACGUUCUCGGGCCUU
rnacentral:rRNA from 1 species